UCCUAAUGUAACAGAGUUUAUGCAGUCACACUGUAUAUCAGUGCAUUCGAAUUCUUCCCAGUUCCUCCCUUGAAAAACUCUUUAACCCUUUGGCCACUUUUAGCCCAAACCAGCAGAGAAGCACGGAGCUCAGACCCUACAUUUGCAAUCGGUUGGGUAAAGAGCGACCCUGGCAGGGCUGCAGCUGUGAGAAACACCGACCCACGCUGCCAGCCCCUAUUAGACACCAGAGAAUCCGCACAGUGCUGACAUCUGAUUGAUGUCCGAACCGUGGGAAAGAGCUUCCCUGGGAGUUUGUGCCCUCCCAGACACCCAGUGCCAAGCUUCGGGGGGGGAGAGGGGAAGCAGCUUAGCAGAAGUCAUAGCCAGGAGGGCUAGGGCUGGCACUGAAAGCAGCGCUGGGGCUGCAGCCCCAAAGCCUUUGGCACUCUGGAAGUCUCAUCUUGGAAGGAAUCACUGCAAAUUACUGUCUCUGCUGAGGGCGUUACAAGCUGUCAGGGCUUGGGGCACCAAUACUCCUUAACAGCCCUGAGCAGCCUCACCUGGGGGCCUCUAUCCACACCCUUUGUGCUCGGCCCAGGAGCCCUAUUUAAGCUCAGCACAGAGCUCUCAGCUCUUGUUGCAGCACUGCUGAGGCUGGCUUGCUCUCAGCCCUGCUUGCAUAUGGGCCCUGCUGAACUUGACCCCAGUGUGGAAGCUGGCUUUGUGACCUCUGGCCUCUGUGGAGCUGCUCAGCACCUGCUGGGCCUGAUCCUGACUCCAGGGCUGAUUCAUUGCUUGCCUUUUACUGGUCUGCCUCAUCGCUGUGAGCUUGCUUGGUGACCCUGGGGGCUCUUGGAUGAACACUGGGGUGACCCCUGGAGCUGCUCUGCCCCACUUUGAGGCUGGACCCUGGCUGGUGACAUCCCUUCUUGCCCUCCUGACUCCUUUGGGAAGCAGCUGGCCCUGCUGCUCCUUAACUCGGUCAAGACCAAAGGAAAUACUUGUGUGUAGCAAACUGCCUACGAGCUGCUUUCCACGCAGGGGAUUUAACCACACUACAAUCCUGUUCAUGCAGUGAAACUGUGAAGGAGACCGAAGCGGGGCAUAAAUCUUUUUGCAGUUUAGAGCUCGUUUAGCUGUGGAUUGCGCUGCCAGGUGUCGUAGUAGCAACAGUCCAUGUUACCUCUAUGGUUUUUCAUCUGAGCUUCUCAGGGAUGUACGAUCUUUCCCUCGAGCCCCCAUCGCUGUUGGAGCAAUGGCUGAGCAGCCGUAAUGCAGUGCGUCAGGAAGAAGUCAGAAGGGGUAACAGUGAAGACAAAAUGGAGCUGGGUGGACUUCU
ensembl:lncRNA